UACGUAGGGUGCAAGCGUGUCCGGAAUUAUUGGGCGUAAAGAGCUCGUAGGCGGUUUGUCGCGUCGAAUGUGAAAACCCGGGGCUCAACCCCGGGCCUGCAUUCGAUACGGGCAGACUAGAGUUCGGUAGGGGAGUCUGGAAUUCCUGGUGUAGCGGUGAAAUGCGCAGAUAUCAGGAGGAACACCGGUGGCGAAGGCGGGACUCUGGGCCGAUACUGACGCUGAGGAGCGAAAGCGUGGGGAGCAAACAGG
rnacentral:rRNA from 1 species